AGGCUCGUAGCUCAGGGGGAGAGCGCUUCCUUGACACGGAAGAGGUCGGCGGUUCGAGACCGCCCGGGCCUACCA
rnacentral:tRNA from 13 species